rnacentral:rRNA from 1 species
GACGAACGCUGGCGGCGUGCUUAACACAUGCAGGUCGAACGGAAAGGCCCUGCUUUUGUGGGGUGCUCGAGUGGCGAACGGGUGAGUAACACGUGAGUAACCUGCCCUUGACUUUGGGAUAACUUCAGGAAACUGGGGCUAAUACCGGAUAGGAGCUCCUGCUGCAUGGUGGGGGUUGGAAAGUUUCGGCGGUUGGGGAUGGACUCGCGGCUUAUCAGCUUGUUGGUGGGGUAGUGGCUUACCAAGGCUUUGACGGGUAGCCGGCCUGAGAGGGUGACCGGCCACAUUGGGACUGAGAUACGGCCCAGACUCCUACGGGAGGCAGCAGUGGGGAAUAUUGCACAAUGGGCGGAAGCCUAAUGCAGCAACGCCGCGUGCGGGAUGACGGCCUUCGGGUUGUAAACCGCUUUCGCCUGUGACGAAGCGUGAGUGACGGUAAUGGGUAAAGAAGCACCGGCUAACUACGUG